AGCUUGCAAAGAUCAUUACAGUAAGCGUUGCUGGGGCAUUGGCUUGGGCUUGGGCUUCAGAGUUAUUGCUCUUUCUCCGAAUUUUAGAAAGCUGUCUAUUGAUCACAUCGUCUCCUCAUAUAGGAGAACACAGAGAAGGGCAAUAUUCUUGGACUAUGAUGGCACUGUUGUACCUCAGUCAUCAUUGGUUAAAGCUCCAGGUGCUGAAGUUAUUACGCUGUUGAAUUCUUUAAGCAAUGAUCCUAAAAACACCGUGUAUAUUGUUAGUGGCAGAGGAAGAAAGUCAUUAAGUGAAUGGCUUGCACCGUGUGCAAGGCUCGGAAUAGCUGCUGAACAUGGGUAUUUCAUAAGGAGUAGUAAAAUGUCGGAUUGGGAAUGUUUGGCUUCUGAUCUUGAGUGGAAACCAAUUGUGGAACCUGUGAUGAAACUUUACACAGAAACAACUGAUGGAUCAUAUAUUGA
rnacentral:misc_RNA from 1 species